CAUUACCGAGUGAGGACCUAACCGGUCCAACCUCCCACCCGUGUCUAUCGUACCUUGUUGCUUCGGCGGGCCCGCCAUUCGUGGCCGCCGGGGGGCAUUUCGCCCCCGGGCCCGCGCCCGCCGGAGACACCAACACGAACACUGUCUGAAGGUUGCAGUCUGAGUCGAUUUAUUUAAUCGUUAAAACUUUCAACAACGGAUCUCUUGGUUCCGGCAUCGAUGAAGAACGCAGCGAAAUGCGAUAAUUAAUGUGAAUUGCAGAAUUCAGUGAAUCAUCGAGUCUUUGAACGCACAUUGCGCCCCCUGGUAUUCCGGGGGGCAUGCCUGUCCGAGCGUCAUUGCUGCCCUCAAGCACGGCUUGUGUGUUGGGUCGCCGUCCCCUUCCCGGGGGACGGGCCCGAAAGGCAGCGGCGGCACCGCGUCCGGUCCUCGAGCGUAUGGGGCUUUGUCACCCGCUCUGUAGGCCCGGCCGGCGCCUGCCGACCACCAACCUUUUUUUAACCAGGUUGACCUCGGAUCAGGUAGGGAUACCCGCUGAACUUAAGCAUAUCAAUAAGCGGAGGAAAAGAAACCAACCGGGAUUGCCUCAGUAACGGCGAGUGAAGCGGCAAAAGCUCAAAUUUGAAAUCUGGCUCCUUCGGGGUCCGAGUUGUAAUUUGCAGAGGAUGCUUCGGUUGCGGCCCCCAUCUAAGU
rnacentral:sRNA from 1 species